rnacentral:RNase_MRP_RNA from 14 species
AAGACACGCUUCGGAGCACACACACGGAGAGGAGCGGCGCCUCGCGCCCCUCUCACCCCCAGCUCUGAGGAAAGUCCCCGGGCACUGCGGCAGAGAGUGCCAGCCGUGAAGGCGAGGUCCCCGCGGCUGCGGGAGCACGAAGACGGUCCUCGGACCCGAGUUUGCCCGCGCCGUGGGUCCGGCCGUAGCGUACAGUGAUGCGUGUCGGGGCCAUAUGGCCCUUGAACAGAACGGGGCUCACUCUGGCG